rnacentral:rRNA from 1 species
GACGUAGGGGGCGAGCGUUAUCCGGAUUCACUGGGCGUAAAGGGCGCGUAGGCGGUCAGCACAAGUCAGUUGUGAAAUCUCCGGGCUUAACUCGGAAAGGUCAACUGAUACUGUGCGACUAGAGUGCAGAAGGGGCAACUGGAAUUCUCGGUGUAGCGGUGAAAUGCGUAGAUAUCGAGAGGAACACCUGCGGCGAAGGCGGGUUGCUGGGCUGACACUGACGCUGAUGCGCGAAAGCCAGGGGAGCGAACGGG